AGUAAGCUUUAAUUGUGAUCUUCUAAUCCCACCAGAACAGGAUCCUGGCGUCCCUGGUUCUGGGAUAAAUGCUAUGUUUGAUCCUACUGACAGAAGGAGUCUGCAGUUUAAGCACUUACUGUGUGAAAUCAAUGUGACACUUCUGCCCUUGGCAAGGAAAUACUACUGAAAAAUCCCUACUUCACAAGAUCAACUGACAAGUAAG